rnacentral:lncRNA from 1 species
AGUAGGUCUUUUCGGGGCUGACUACUGAGGAAAUAUUUUUUCUGAGGUGAUUUACCAGUUAAUAAGGGUGAGGUGUGAUUUACCAGUUGAUAAGUUAAACAAAGCUUAGAAAUGAACGAAAACUACUAUGUAAUGAUGCAAUGGAAUAGAUUGAUUGACAUGUUUUAAAGUUAUACAUUUUAUGGGUAUUGAUAUUAUCUUAUUUAAUCAUAAGGAUUACAGGUGGUGUUUUGUACUAAUGUAACAUAAAUAACGUUCUAAUGAUUAAUGCAAUAUGCAAAAUAUAAUGUUGAAAAUAUUGCUGCCUUCCUAAUGAAGAAUUUUCAAUAUCGUGUGUUUACUUGAUGAUAACUUACCGCAUCGCUCUGAAAAGCUUAUGUAGUUAAAUAGUUACUCUGAUAAAUGUUUAAAUACAAGUAAUAAAAUAGUUUCAUAAAUUUAUCUACACUAGUGAUUAGUACUAAGCUCAGUUCAUAAAAAAUAAUGAUGAAUUGCUAAACUUCCAUGGCUAUGAAGUGUAUUUGUAUUUCUAAUACUUUGUUUAUUAUGCUGAAUUAUUGUUAUAAGUGUUUUCUUUUAUUGAUAUAUUAUCAUAAUGUUGACACAGAAUAACUAUCAAAAUUAGCGAUUUUGGUAGCUCUGUUCGUGCAAGCUGGAGCUUCUUUUUAGUGAAGUAUAUUUCAUUUGCAGUGUCAAACAUUAAUUUUAUGCUAUUAAGUUAGUAUUGAUUACUGUAUAUUCCAUCUGCUUCCCACAGCUACUAUGUAGCAAUUACUGGGGAGAAAAACCAUACAAGAAACAUUAAAAUAUAAACAAAAUUUGUAUUAAAUGAUGAUUGAAUUAAAGCAUAGUUCAUCAGAAUAAAGAUGUUGAGCUUUAUUUCGCCCCUAUCUGAUAAUUAAUUUUCAUAAAUUUAACAGUAAUUGAUGUCUUUGUCGGCUAGUUAUAACUGAUGUGAAAAUGGUUUCUGAUUUAUGAUUACUAUCUCCACCAUCACCCAUAAACUGAUGUAACUAGUGUAAAUUAAGUUUUGUGUUUAAUUACAGUAGCUUUUGAUGAAUAAUUUUAUUACCAUCUUUCGUUUGAGACCUUGUCUCUGAAACAAAUUAAGAAACUGAAGCUACUAAAAUAAUUGUAGUUUUUUAUACAUACUAAAACAUCUGAUGACAACUAAGACGGGCGGGCUGAGUUACUACUUGUAGUAAUUUGCUGAAUGUCUUGACUGAUGUUUACAUUAUUA